CGGUUGAGGAAAAUACAGACUGCUCGCUGUUAUCCUCAAAAACCUCACCAAGAUCUGUGUCAGACUGUAUUUUUGGCGAACACUAAGGCCUAUGUUAUCAGAGGACUUGCUAACAUGAAGAAAACGUCCAGAGGAAAUGACCGAUUGUUUCGCUAGAUAAGACCCUUCUUACUAGUCUGGGAUCAGGUUU